GCUGUAGCUCAGUGGUAGAGUGUUUGCCUCGCAUGCAGAAGGUUUCAGGUUCAAUCCCUGGCAUCUCCA
rnacentral:tRNA from 1 species